rnacentral:rRNA from 1 species
UACGUAGGGGGCAAGCGUUGUCCGGAAUCAUUGGGCGUAAAGCGCGUGUAGGCGGCCCGGUAAGUCCGCUGUGAAAGUCCAGGGCUCAACCCUGGGAUGCCGGUGGAUACUGUCGGGCUCGAGUCCGGAAGAGGCGAGUGGAAUUCCUGGUGUAGCGGUGAAAUGCGCAGAUAUCAGGAGGAACACCAAUGGCGAAGGCAGCUCGCUGGGACGUGACUGACGCUGAGACGCGGAAGCGUGGGGAGCAAACAGG